GGUUGAUCCUGCCAGUAACAUAUGCUUGUCUCAAAGAUUAAGCCAUGCAUGUCCAAGUGUGAACUCUUUUUCGCAUAGCUGAACUGCGUACAGCUCAUUAAACCAGUUAUAAUUUGCUUGAAGAUGGGAUUGACUAGAUGGAUACCCGUAGUAAUUCUAGAGCUAAUACGUGCGUGUGUGUGUUUUGUUGUCAAAGGCAAGACACAGUGCUGAUUAGAUUUGUGUGUGUUGUUUCACAGUUAGUGAGAGGACUCAUGAUCAUCGUUCGGAUUGUCUCCUUUGUGAGACAACAA
rnacentral:rRNA from 1 species